UACAGAAGAAGCACUGGCUAACUCUGUGCCAGCAGCCGCGGUAAUACAGAGAGUGCAAGCGUUAAUCGGAAUUACUGGGCGUAAAGCGCACGUAGGUGGAUAUUUAAGUCGGAUGUGAAAGCCCCAAGGCUUAACCUGGGAAUUGCAUCCGAUACUGGAUGUCUCGAGUAUGGUAAAGGGAAGGGGAAUUUCCGGGGUAGCGGUGAAAGGCGUAAAUAUCGAAAAAAACACCAGGGGCGAAGGCGGUUUCCUGGACCAAUACUGACACUGAGGUGCGAAAGCGGGGGGAGCAAACAGGAUUAAAAACCCUGGUAGUCCACGCCGUCAACAAUAAGAACUAGCUGUUGGAAAGCUAACUUUCCAGUAGCGAAGCUAACGCGUUAAGUUCUCCGCCGGGGAAGUACGGCCGCAAGGUUAAAACUCAAAGAAAUUGACGGGGGCCCGCCCAAGCGGGGGAGCAUGUGGUUUA
rnacentral:rRNA from 1 species